GUGGGCUGGAGGAGUCGGCAGACGCUGGACCAGGAGAGCUCUGCAGGCCAUACUGAGGACCUGGCCUGUGGGGGAGAUGAUGGAGAGGUGCUCUGGUUUCCUUUGGGGCUACCAAAGACAGCCCUUUACUCCUCUCGCGGAUCAGUCCAAGGGGGAGAAGACGCGCUGCCUUUUCAGGGCUCCUGUGAUUACAUCAGACCCACCUGGCGAUCUCCCACUUCUCAGUCCACUGAUGCAGAACCUUAAUUGCACCUGCACAGGUGAUGUAAUCACGAGUGUGAUGGCUCGUCGUAUUCACAGUCCCGGGGCCUGGGGAACCCUGGAGCCAGGUGAGAACUUGGUUCACCUCUGUCCCCUUCCUCCUGGCCUUCCGAACUCCACACCGCCCUGGUCCUCCUUCCUCACUGUGGCUCCUGCUUGGUCUCCUUCGCCCCGUUCACCCACCAGCACCAGCAUUUUUAGGAACAUCGGGAUGCCCAGAGCAUCUAGGGAGCUGGCAGAAGCCACCCCAGCUGGGGAUUCAGCCCCUACUCGGGGAAGCUCGUGGCCUGGGUUUUGGGGGCCUUGCCUCCAAGCUCAGUGGUGGAGUGACGUCCCAGGGUCGGGUAAUACCCCAGGAGAGUUUGGGAAGUGCUGAGACUCCACGGUGAGGGGUCCACGGUGAGGGGGCAGCGCUGGCAGCUGGGGGUGCACGUCGGGUGGGCGACCCAGACAGAACUGGCUCUUUUUCCAGCUUGGCUACAGAGCUUCAAGAGAGGGUCUGGCCUUAACCAGAAAUGGCUGUGGACCUGAAAAUGGCACAAAUGCUGGACUAACAUCAGGCAGAGUGAUAGUGAUAAUAUCAGCUUUUUUGUGUCGGGGGGCACCUACUAUGUUCCAGCUGCUAAGUGUAUGUGUAUAUCAGCUAAUUUAAUCCCCACGGCUACGUAUGAGGUAGGUACUAUGUUAACCCCCAUUUCCCAGAGAAAGAAACUGAGGCUCAGCAAGGUCAGGAGACUUGCCAAGACCGGACAGCUCAUGACUAGAGAAGAGCUGCUGAGGGUUGUCACAUCUGCCUUCACUGCCGUGCCGAAAUGUGACAUAAAUCUGUGCUCAAUAUUCACAACGUGGUUAUAACGGCACAAGACUUUCUGCGGGGAAGCAGUUGAACUGGGACUUAACGAGGGACACGAUGAGGAAACAUAUUUGGCUUCAGUGUAAGGAAGGGCAGAUGUUCUGGCGGUCAGAGUGGCCCAAAGGUGGACACGGCUACUUUGGGAGGGAAUGAGGUCCCUGUUCCUGGAUAUAUGCAAGUGAAGAGGCUGUUUCCAUUUUCUGGGGCCCUGGUAACAACAGAUACUGUACUGAACAUCCUACACGUGUCAUCUUUAGGUUCUCACUGCUCCAUCACAUAGGCGCUGCUGUCCCCGAUUUACAGGUGAGGAAACUGAAGCCCAAUGAGAUUAAGUGACUCAGUGAUGGUUAUGUAGAUGGUUGGUGGGGGAGCCAUGACUCAAACCCAAAGCUGUGUAUCUCCAAAGCUGUGCUUGUACCCAUACAACUAUCGAACGCCUGCUGUGUGUCUGGUACUAUUCUUCUAGACGCUAAGACCCAGCAGGGACAAUUUAGUCCCAAUCCUUGCCCUGAUGGAGAUCAGAUUCCAGUAGGGAGAGAGACAGUCCAGAGUAAUGAGACCAAAAUAGACCUCAACGAGAAUGAGGCGAGACCAAAGGGAAGGCCAUUGCCUUGGUCCAUGUUGGAGAGAUGGGGGUUUGGACCAGGAUGGACCAGUGGAUGGAUCUGAGUGAUUUUGAAGGCAGAACCAGUGGGCCUUGCUGAGAUGACCCCAUUACUGAAGCUCAGAGCAGGGAGGUGACCUGCCCAACGCUACACGUCUGGAAUAUGGAAGAGCCCAGGGGAUAGAGGCUGCACUGGGAGGUCUGCGACCUGGGCCACUCACCAGCUGUGGAACCUUGGCUGUUCCUGCCUCUCUCGCCUUGAUGUCCUCUUUUCAAAGUUCCUUUCAGCCCCAAGAUUGCACAGCCAGACCGCUGCCGCGUAUGAGCCGCGUGCCCUUGGCAAGUGAUUUC